rnacentral:rRNA from 1 species
GCAAGUCGAGGGGCAGCACGGUUUUCGGACUGGUGGCGACCGGCGCACGGGUGCGUAACGCGUAUACAAUCUACCUAGUACUGGAGGAUAGCCCGAGGAAACUCGGAUUAAUACUCCAUGGUAUCACAGAUAGGCAUCUUGAAGUGAUUAAAGAUUUAUCGGUAUUAGAUGAGUAUGCGUCUGAUUAGUUAGUUGGUGAGGUAACGGCUCACCAAGACAGCGAUCAGUAGGGGUUCUGAGAGGAUGAUC